rnacentral:misc_RNA from 1 species
GUAACAAGGUUUCCGUAGGUGAACCUGCGGAAGGAUCAUUAAAUAAUCAAUAAUUUUGGCUUGUCCAUUAUUAUCUAUUUACUGUGAACUGUAUUAUUACUUGACGCUUGAGGGAUGCUCCACUGCUAUAAGGAUAGGCGGUGGGGAUGUUAACCGAGUCAUAGUCAAGCUUAGGCUUGGUAUCCUAUUAUUAUUUACCAAAAGAAUUCAGAAUUAAUAUUGUAACAUAGACCUAAAAAAUCUAUAAAACAACUUUUAACAACGGAUCUCUUGGUUCUCGCAUCGAUGAAGAACGUAGCAAAGUGCGAUAACUAGUGUGAAUUGCAUAUUCAGUGAAUCAUCGAGUCUUUGAACGCAACUUGCGCUCAUUGGUAUUCCAAUGAGCACGCCUGUUUCAGUAUCAAAACAAACCCUCUAUCCAACAUUUUUGUUGAAUAGGAAUACUGAGAGUCUCUUGAUCUAUUCUGAUCUCGAACCUCUUGAAAUGUACAAAGGCCUGAUCUUGUUUGAAUGCCUGAACUUUUUUUUAAUAUAAAGAGAAGCUCUUGCGGUAAACUGUGCUGGGGCCUCCCAAAUAAUACUCUUUUUAAAUUUGAUCUGAAAUCAGGCGGGAUUACCCGCUGAACUUAAGCAUAUCA